rnacentral:Y_RNA from 1 species
GGCUGGUCUGAAGGUAAUGAGUUAUCUCACUUGAUUGUUCAGUCAGUUACAGAUUGAACUCCUUGUUCUACUACUUUCCCCUCUCAUCACUACUGCACUUGACUAGUCUUAA